rnacentral:lncRNA from 1 species
CUUCACUCUUGAAUGUGUGCCAGGGACCUGAGACUCCAAGGUCAAAGGUGAAAGAUGAAGACCAGACUUCAUCUGGACCAUAGUUAAAGUCACAACAAGGGACCACACAACUUCUCCCUCCUCUAAAUGAGGACACACCUUCAAGUUAGCCUCCAAACACCAAAACUGGAGUGACAAUCGGAAUGUUGGAGAAGGAGAUCAAGAGCCUAGCGGAACAGGUGGUCUCCAGAAUCGAGAAAGGCUGUAAUGUAAACCCUAUGCAAAGCCUCCCCGAGAAGCAGUGCCCUAUCUAUCUCGUCCUUUAACCUAAGGAUACAGUGCUAAGACACUGACCUACAGACAGACCCCUUAGGGAACAAAUCACAUUGUUUUAAGCAACUGAGAUUGCACACAUUUGUUCAGCAAUGGGAAACACACUUUUAUAUCUUUGCAAGUCUCCAAGACUCGGGAAGUUUCUUUAUGUAGAGUGCAUGAUACUCUG